CCGGGUCCUCUUGACAUAUUGGCAUAUAUGCAAGAAGUAGAAAGGUGAUUGCCAACAUAACUCUGCUCAACGGCUCUAGGCUGUUCUAUCUGUUCCUGACACCGACACUCGGGAGACAGGACAGAGUCUGGGCGGCUCAGUGCUCCAGCCCAUGAAUCAAUCUGCAAUCUCCCUGUAUUAUUUUGAGCGAAGGUCCUGUUGUCAUCAGGAGUCAAUCACCUGCUAGACACUUCUAUUGGGCAGUUCUCUAAAUAAAAAGGCAGUGAGAGCCGCCUGUGGAAUCAGCUGGGUAAUGUCACGUCUGGAGAUCAAGCGAGAGGCCACUGUUCCCGGGUGGACGCCUGAGAGGGAAAGAGAAACAGAGUUGUCCCUCCAGAUCUGCAGGUUGGUUCCGGGAUUCCCAACGUUCAAGGGCUAUCAGAUCCCUUAUAUAAAAUGGCUUGCUACUGUCCUAUAGCCAAUGCACAUCCUCACACAUCCUCGAGACUUUUCUAGAUGCUGCAGAACAUCACUCAAGGCAAGCACUGUGUAAGUAGUGGUCACAGAGGACCAUCUAGGGAGCGCAGAGGCCCAUCUAGGGAAUGACAGCAUCUGUAUGAGAUCUGUGCGCACACCGUUUUUUCUGUUCUAUUUCCUGAGGGUGGUUGACUAGACAGAUGAAGAUCCCGUGGACACAGACAGCCGACGGAGGAUGUACACAUUUGUCAUGUGGACAAGGGCAGGGGCUGUUUUGCAUACUUCUGGAUUCUCCUGGUAUAUGGCAGACAUUCUGCAGCUGGUGAAAUGACCGACGUUGAGCUCAGGGUGAGGAGACGGGACGAAGCAUCUCCCUCAUCCCAAGGUGGAUUCUGAUGAAAUGGUGGCAUUUGGGAUUUCUUGGGUUGAAGACAAAGGGAACAAGGAAAACCAAAGCAAAGAGAAAACUCCUGGAGGAUUUGAGCUGGGCUGACGUGAGCGUGUCCUCUCUAAAAUCACUGGCGAAGUAACUUGGAGGAAGUAUGUACAAUUGGCUGCGAGAAUCCAAGGCAGAACUGUAUGGUGGCCUCUUCGGGAAGCCCGCAUCCCUGUGACUCAGAAAUAGUUCCCCCACCCCCGAGUAUGGUCCCGAAGCAUAAUUCCUGCCUUGAGCAGUGUCUCCGUCCAGCUCACCCUUAAACCUUAACUGCUCUCCCCAUGCUCUAUAGCAAAGAAAGUCCUCAGUUCUAUUGGGAGGUUUCAGUUACUGUGACAGGUCAAAGGUCAACUUGAAGGGUCUUGGACCAAACCUGACCCCUGGUUUGAGCUGGAGAAAACCCGACAAGGUUUGUUAUUACAUCUCGAGCUGGAAUUUACCGUUGGAAAGGCAGCCUUUGUCACCAGCACAAGGAGAACUGCUUUGCAUUUGAUGACAUUUUCAAAAUGGUGUGGAAAACCUUGACGUUUUUAUUAGAAAAUCUAUAAAGCCCAAACAAAUGGU